UCAGCAAAUCAGGCUCAGCUCACAGUAGCCUCUUCUUCAUGACUUUCGUAAACCAUGCAAUGCAGAACGAGCAAUUCUGCCACUGGAAGUGUGCCGCACAGCAAAAAAGGAAAGACAACAAAAAAAGUGAGUCAGGGAGGGAGGCUCGUGAUGUAAACAUGACGCAAUCCCACAGUGACGCAAUCCCAAGGCACUGAAGGAAUGUUGCUUGCAGAUGCUAGUCCUGGCAUAGCGAGAGAGCAUCUACGCAUUGAAGUACUUUUUGCGGCAAGGUAUUUCUGAAAUGGUAUAUAUUUUAACGUUAAAUGCAUUUCUUGACCUCGAUAAAAAGUGGUUCAGGGACCCUGUAAAGGGGCCCUGAAACACUUUUUGAACACAAUAAGAAAACAUUGCCGAUCUGUCGUAGAGGCUGCUGUGAACAUGUAAACCAAAUAUGUAUUACUGCACUACUUGCAGCAGGGAAUUUACUAUCUCGUGAAACAAACAGCAAAAAAAAUCGCUUGCUCUCGCUACCGCAAUGCUGCCAUGCAGCUUCAUUAAAGGCAGCUCCACCCACCAACACUACUGGCUGAUUUCGUGACUGCGAGCAGAUUUCGUGGUUGCGGCCGCCAUUGGGUGUCGUGACGAGAGCCCUUUCACCGCCGCGACACUCAACUUUUGGCCAGGGCUUUGCCCUCUUGGCUUCUCUGCUGUGUAAUUUCCAACACACUAGCAGAGACAAAAAGAGAGAGAAAGGCAGGUAUCGAUGUGAUAGCUCCACUUAUAGUUGAAGAAUCCGAAAAAUGUUUUCGCCAUGAGAUUCGUCCAUUUGUAUCAUCUAUUUGUAUGUGACCAUUAUUAAAGCAUGCACUUCAUGAAUUUACCUUGACACUCAACAAAAGUAAAACGCGAUUUCUAAAGCACAUUCAUAAUUCCUGAAGUGUAGAAAUAAACAAAAUAAAUAAAAAAUGAAUACUUAUAAAUUUUAGCUAUUCAUCUGAAAAAGUAAAAUCUUGACGAUGCAACGCCUGUUGUGUAACAGGGAAAGCGCAUAUUGCUACACAUGCAAAGAAGAGACGCCACAAACAUGCACAGCGAGCACCACGGCGUCGAAGCACAAAUGGAAAGCGCGAACGCUGCAAUUCUCUUCUCCACCUCUAGGCACCUUCCUCCUCCGGUGCCCGCUUCCCUCGCGGGGACAAACAUAAUAUCGCCGAUUUGAAAGACGAGGCAUCUACGCUCGCCCAUAAAAAUAGCAUGCUGUGCUUAUACCAAUAGUACCAACAAUACUUUUUUAUUAUUUUUGCAUUGAACUCGGGACCAUGCAAGGAACACAAUUGGGUGGUAACAAUUUGCCAAGUCGUCCUUUUUUUUUACCCAUUACAUGACUAGUUCCAGCAUGUGCCCCAUUUUUGCUAAAAAAAGUCCAUUUGCAAGCAACAUCAACAAUAAGUAAUGACUCACCUGUGGUAACUCCUUUAGAAAUGUAAGGAACUAUCCAGUUUGCCUUUUCAUGCAAUAAACAGCUUGGGGUGGUCAAUUUCAAAAUGGGAAAAUUGCCAUCCACCUGAUUGUACCAUAAUGAAAGAAGCCUGCACGAAGUCCUCAGAAAGCAAAGUUCACAGCUGACAAGAAUUUCAUUCUGGUCUACAAGUCGAAUUUAGGACCAAAAAAAUUCUGGGGUUUUAUGUGCCAAAACCACGCUACGUUUAUGAGGCAUGCCAUAGUGGGGGAUUCCAGAAUAAUUUUUACCACCUGGGGUUAUUUAACGUGCAAAUUCAGGACCAUCAUUAGGGGUCAGGGGGAUGGCAGUUUUUCCUUUCAAGAAAUCUACACCCAUAAGCCGAAUCUCUGCAGAAUUCUUUUGAGCAACCAAUAUUUAACCAACAUUUGUGCACGUGCAGGUAAAUGAGCGAUGGGAAUGUCCAUUCUAUGGCACUGAGGAAGAAAACAAUGUGAGUAAUAACCAUAUCUUUUUCUCUGUCGCUCUCACAAAAGUGUGAAAGUAGCAUUUUUUCGCACAACAAAUGACACAAUGCUAGCAGUUCCUUAGUUUUUGUUAACAAACCCAUGUGCAGGAGAUGCCAGCAUCUUACUGCUGGUCAAGUGCAGUCCUUCGUGAUGAAGAAGGAACCAAUGUGGAAAUGCCAAUGGAAAGUGAAAUACACAGGCUGCAUUCAUUCUUGCACCGAGAAGAAGCAGAAGAAAGGAAUGAGAAGACACCAUUAAGUGACGAAUGGCCAGGUUCAUUCUUAAUAGAUCAACUACAGCAAAACAAUAUGGUAACAGCGGUCACCAUCCUUGACCCACAUUCGAUGUCCCUUGGCCAGGACACGGAAGAGAGCAACGUAAGUGAAGACUGCUUAACCUUUCAUGGCUUCCUUUGCCCAGCCAGAACAGGCAUUCAUUUCAUACUUUUGCACUGUAAAUGACUUUACAAAAAGCUGCCAAAUAUUGCAAAUUAUGCGGUAUUAUUCAUAAUGUAGGUCGCUAUUCAGAUGUCAGUUCAACAAGAUCAGAACAACAUUUGGUGUUAAACAUCUGUAGAUUUGAAUUUAUCAGAAAAAUACCCAAAUUUCUUGCCUUUGAUGAAUACACACGAGACCAAUCUCUGCCGUUUCCUUUUUUUCUUACCUGAAUUUUAUUGGCCCUUUCUGCCAUAUUUCGUAGGAAUAAUCUACAAAAUGAAAUACAGGAAAGACACACAACCCAUUUCAUUUGUGACAGUCCAUGGUUGUGCACAUAGCUUUUUAAUAUAUGCAUAAGGAAUAGAAAAAUUGCCCUAUAUGCUGAAUUCCAUGCAAUUCAUCUGAGAGCACAUCUCAGUAGGGUUAUGAUGAAUUACUUGUCUUUGGCUUUUACAACUGAGUCAGAUUUGAAUUGUCACUACACUAUUUUGCUCAUUGAUGAGAACAAGGCCGCCAUGGCUGUAGAAUCUGUUCCAAAAACUGCCCACUGUAUAUCAAUCAACAGUGGGUGCACAACGGAAGCCUCAGCAUGCAGCCAACAUUUCAACAAGCAGACUUGUUCUCUUGUAGGCAAAGUCCCCCCUAACGAAACAUUGGCUCCAGGGUCAGGCUUUCCGCUGGUGAUGCCUGUACGUGAGUCACCAGCACUGCUACUUGUAAUGCACAACAGUUCUGCAGAAUUAUUUAAUAGCAUGAAGUAGUAUGUGAUGCUAUCAUGCUGAUAAGACAUUAACUCUUCAUAUUUCAUCACACAUGACAUCAUAUUUGGGCUUUAAGGAUCUGCCUUUCAAUGGGUAAUGUUGGAAGGAAAGCCACCACUAGAAUGAAGCAAACAAUUCCUUUCCCAUGCUGUUACAGAGAAACCUCCGAUUCUCAUAGCUUCAGCUAAAUUUUGUUUUCGUCAUAACGAUACUGUGUCAUGGCGCAGUCCAAUUUGAAGCAUAUUUUACACAAAAGACUUUAACAAUAUAAUCUUAUCUAUGAAAGUGAGUCAAUACUUAGCAAAAGCUCAAGAUUAAGAAGCUGCUCAAAGUGUGGCUGAAGAAAAUGGCCCGCCCUUGUAAGAGUUGCUGAACUACAGUAAGACUCUGGUUCGGAGAUUACAGUGGCCCCUCUUUGCAUACUUAACAUCACAAUUCAGAGGACAACA